UUCUCAGGAUUGGGCCUCCUUGCGGCCACAUGCAUGAAGAAACGGAGGGGGAAGAAAGGAAUUGGGCAUAUCCCUUGAGAUGACCCAGCUAUUCUGCAGCAGAACCCAAGUCAUACGUUGGUAGUAGAUGUACUAACCACUAGCCCUCGCUAUCCUGUUUUGUCCUUUCCCUAGGAAGAGUCUAAAGUGUCUAAUUUCUUUCUGGAGAUUGGAAGAUUGAAGCGCCUCAGGCUGAAGGUGCCUCCCUUCCUUGAACCCUUAAGGGGAAGCAACAGCAAGGUCAAAUCUGCAGGAAGAAAGCUCUGGACAAGCUAACCUUCAGAAAUGCAUCUCUGAGGGCUGGAAGGAGCGAAUGAUGGAGUGCUAAUGAGAACGGAAGGAAAUCGGAAAACAGGGACCAGAGUAAACAAAUAAAAUAACAGAAAU
rnacentral:lncRNA from 1 species